AGGAGCCUUAUGAGAUGAAAAUUUCACGUAUGGUUCUGAAGCGGAUUUCAGUUGAAUGACGACCAUAACAGAUGUCAAAUCCAAAGAUAUUUUGGAACCCCUUAUAUUUCAU
rfam:Nicotiana attenuata strain TT chromosome 7, whole genome shotgun sequence.